rnacentral:lncRNA from 1 species
AGAAGGGAAGUCAAUGGACCAACUUUCCUACAAUUAUUUGUUUUGACUUCCCAAAUCUAUAAGAACUAAAUUACUGAAAAGCCCUUUCACACUUUGAUAUAAUAAUAUGAUCUCUUCCAUCUAAAAUAAUCAUAAAAUCUUGAAUUUAUUAAAGGCUUGAAAGUUCAGAGACGAUGCAGAAGAAGAAAAGCUCCAGUUAGGCAAAGUGGCUACACCUGUGAAAGAAAGGUACCCUGUGGAUAGAAUAAAGGACCUGGUUUAAGUGGCUGCUGUUGAAUGUUAAGGUGCAAGGGAGAUAAGCACAAUUUAUUAUAUAAUCUUUUAAGUUAAAUAGUACAGAUGAAAUAGCUUAUUCAUGGUCUGCUUGGUUUGCUCUAUGUCUCUGCGAUUCACACACUCAAAAGAUACCUUUGUUUUCUCAUGGGAAACAAAAAAGCUGAGUAUUUUCAAGCCCUGUUAGCACAGGUAGAAGAUAUGGACUGUCAAACUCAUUACAGUUGUGAUUCCUGAUUCAAUAUAAGCAGUGCUUCCGAUUUCUGAUUGGUACCGACUUUUUAGGGCAGGGUUUGCAAAGUGUAAGAAUAUAAUUGAGCUGAAACUCAAUGAGAGUUGGGCACCUGCCCUCCUUUGGGCUCCUUUGCAAAAUUCCAAACUAGAUCUGGGAGUUGGGCACCUGCCCUCCUAGGCUCCUUUGCAAAAUUCCAAACUAGAUCUGUGAUAGUCUGGAGCAUUAUCAACUAUAAAAUCUCUCAUAUUUUAUAUGAAAAUAUUUCUAGUUAAGUUAGGUUAACCCUUUUUAGCAUAGUGUGUGUUUUAAUUAUUAGCUGAUAUAAAUGACAAACAUCGAUUCAAGUAGAUUUCUUUGAGUAUUUCAAGUACUAUAUUUUUCUGAAGCAGUUUUGAUAUAUUCCUUUGUGUUUAUAAUUAAAUGCUUCAAUCUGCCUAGUUGCUAUAUGCAAACUAGUAUUGACAUGAAUUUGCAUAUUGUCUUGUUAGAAGGAAACACGCCACCAGCCUUGCAAGAAAGGACUUUAUUGUAUUGUCUGUGGAGCUGAAAUACUGCCAAAAGCAGAGGGAAUUUUGAGAAAAGCUUGCUACAGUAAUAUUGAACUGCAAAUAAUCUGGAAACUCUUCAGAAAUACUAAUAUAAGAAGUAAAGAAUCCAUUAAUAAUUGUAUGUGUGAACUAGAUGCCAUUUCAGAAGAUGAUAAUACAAUGUUGGUCAUCUCAGAUGCUGCAAGUCUUAGUCAUCUUAAAGAAACUUUGAAGGUUUAUCAGAUGCCAGUGAAAAGUGAAGGUAAAUCUUACUGAUUACUGAUAAAUGCCACCUAAUAUUUGUCAAGUCCUUUAGCUUUAAAUUAAACACAACACAUUGUUUUCUUUCAUUUCCUGCAGAAGUUUUUGGGGUUUGGUAACGUGUUUUUAUCUCUUGAUCUAUGUCUGAGAUCUCCUCCUACGAAGAGGACCAGUACAAGUCUCUUGCCCCACUACUUCUUACUCUCAAAAAUAGCUCUAUACAGGGUUUGCAGAUAUUUUUAAUGGAAAGCUUUUUUAAGUCAAGAAAAACACAUGAGCUUUCAAAAAGACUAUAACAAGUCUUUCGUUAAAUUGUUACAUGAGAUGUUCAAAACUGUACCAAAGCUUUGUUAUAAUGGUUUCCUUAUUAGGUUAUUUCCUCUUUGUAAGGGACAUUGAAUACCACGUUACAAAUCACAUAUUUUACCUGUGUUCUUCUCUGUUAACAAUUGGCAGAGUGUAGUUGCUGCAAACAUUGUUUUCUUUUUUGUGUCAGUAAGGUCUUGGUAUUGAUUUUUGCCUACUCAUUGGUCAAUAAUUGUUUGUUUAACCAAACCCUGAUGAUGUUUACUAGUUUACCCUCCACUCCCAGAUUUCUUGGGUCCUCACCUGUUAUUCUGAUCAAAAAGAAAAGAUAAAGAUAAUAACAGAAUCAUUUACAUUUCUUACAACAAAUUAAAAUCUGUCAGUUGGAGGUGUAUACUCUCCAGCCCCAGUGGUUAAAGGAGGGCUCUGCAGAAGAAAUGUUUUUAAUAUGAAGUGUUUCCAUGUGUCAGAGCAGGGAAUGUGUAACCCUUCAGCAGCAUUCAGGUGACAGAGACCAAAUCUAAAGUACUUACUUUUGUUUGUGUCUGGCUGGUUCUGGUGUUAGGAUGGCACAAUUCAUCAUAUGUGGGUUUUUGUCACAAGGGCUCCUACUUUAGAAGUUUCAGAGGCUGCAGAGAUGAGUAACCAUUCUUUACCAUGUUACUUUCUGGCAAAAUAAAAGAUCACAA